CAGAGUGUAAAAACUCCCAAACCCUAUGUGAACAUACCUUAUUGUUGCUUCGGCGAGAUUGCCCUAGGCGCCUUGCGUGACCUGGAGUUAGGCGCUCGCCGGGGGACCUAAACUCUUGUUUUUUCAUGAGCAUCUUCUGAGUACUGUUUUUUAAUAAAUAA
rnacentral:misc_RNA from 1 species